GCAGGUUCAUCUUUGAAGACUACACUCCUACAAACUUUGAUACUUUUCCUGCAGCCAUCAUGACUGUAUUUCAGAUUCUGACAGGAGAAGACUGGAAUGAGGUGAUGUACAAUGGGAUCCGCUCCCAGGGAGGAGUGAAGUCAGGAAUGUGGUCCUCCAUAUACUUCAUUGUACUCACACUCUUUGGUAACUACACGCUGUUGAAUGUUUUCUUGGCCAUCGCUGUGGACAAUCUGGCCAAUGCCCAGGAACUAACCAAGG